GAUGAACGCUGGCGGCGUGCCUAAUACAUGCAAGUCGAGCGAACAGACGAGGAGCUUGCUCCUCUGACGUUAGCGGCGGACGGGUGAGUAACACGUGGAUAACCUACCUAUAAGACUGGGAUAACUUCGGGAAACCGGAGCUAAUACCGGAUAAUAUAUUGAACCGCAUGGUUCAAUAGUGAAAGACGGUUUUGCUGUCACUUAUAGAUGGAUCCGCGCCGCAUUAGCUAGUUGGUAAGGUAACGGCUUACCAAGGCUUCGAUGCGUAGCCGACCUGAGAGGGUGACCGGCCACAGCGGGACGGAGAUACGGCCCAGACUCCGAGGGGAGGCAGGAGUGGGGAAUAUUGAACAAUGGGCGGAAGCAUGAAGCAGCAACGCAGCGAGCGGGAUGAAGGCCGUCGGUGUGUAAACCGCUUGCGCCUGUGACGAAGCGGGAGGGACGGGAAUGGGUAAAGAAGCACCGGCGAACUACGUG
rnacentral:rRNA from 1 species